rnacentral:tRNA from 1 species
GAAAAAUUAGUUAAAUAAUAACAUUAGUAUGUCAAACUAAAAUCAUCAACUUUUGAUAUUUUUCU